rnacentral:rRNA from 1 species
AGAGUUUGAUUAUGGCUCAGGAUGAACGCUGGCGGCGUGCCUAACACAUGCAAGUCGAACGAAGCACCUUUUAAGAUUCUUCGGAUGAUUGAUUGGUGACUGAGUGGCGGACGGGUGAGUAACGCGUGGGUAACCUGCCCUGUACAGGGGGAUAACAGUUGGAAACGGCUGCUAAUACCGCAUAAGCGCACGAGAGGACAUCCUUUCGUGUGAAAAACUCCGGUGGUACAGGAUGGGCCCGCGUCUGAUUAGCUGGUUGGCAGGGUAACGGCCUACCAAGGCAACGAUCAGUAGCCGGUCUGAGAGGAUGAACGGCCACAUUGGAACUGAGACACGGUCCAA